ACAACUAGAGGUAAGAAAUUUGUGAGCAAACAAUGAAAUGUAGAUGAGGUAAAAUGCACAGAGACUAGGCAAGACACUCUGCUUGGCCGACACUACUGAUCUUCUGACAUUCCAUAUGUGCAAUUUUUAGAGCUACAUUACAUAAACAGAAUCUAGCAGCCAAAGUAGCUAAAUAAUAAGAAAAAGCAUUCUAACUCGUUGGCUUUCGACCUAUUGUUUCCAUAGCAGGGCAAUAUCAAUGGCAUGAUUCUAUUAAGGGAACCGUCCCUCCGGCCUGCAGGAUUUGCCGCUCCAGCUGCAUUUAACACAGGUAAGUUCAAAAGCAGAUUCGAAAACCUCCUUGGUCAAACAUGUGGAUAAAUUAUCAAUACUGGACUAGACAGACCAGGAAAACCUUGAAAAUUGUUUGAGCAGCAUCUGGCUUUAAGUUGACAAGGCAACCCCUCAACUUUUAUCAAGACUCAAAAAACCAAAGACUGUAAGGUAAUAAUAUCACCAUCCAUUGAAUUAUUCUUAUCUCGACUUCUUUCUUUAAGUUUAUCGAUACUUCUGUAACGACUUAACCUACACAAGACUCCUUUUCUAUAUAUCAUACUAAUUUUGUAUGCAGAUGCUUGAAUAACCGCGAUUGACAAAUUCCGGUUUAUUAUUGUUAAAUUUGCUUCUAAUUUAUGGUUUAACUUUCAGAAUGAAUUCAUUUUAGAUAUAUAAAAAAAAGUUCACCAUGAAGUAAUACUUACCCUUGACAAAGUUUCCAGCUUGCUCUUCACGAGAUAGAAUUCUUGUUUUACCAAGUUGAGAUAUCUCAAGCACCUGCAUCAAAAUUCCUUUGUUUAGCCAAUACAACAUUCUACAAUAUGAGAAAUGAUUUCUAAGCACCGAUUGUGUUGUUUCAGAAAAAAACUGUCAGGAAUAUAACUAUGCUAUCAUAAAAGCAUGUUUGGCUAAGAUUAAAAAGUUCACUUAUAAGUAAAUAAGUGGAUUUUUAAAAUAAAUGAGUUUUUUUAUUGGUUAAAGUAGGAAAUAAAUUACUUAUUUUGCAAGUAAAGCAAGAGUUUCUUUCCAAACAAAUAAGUUUUUGUACUUAAAAGAAAGGAAAAUGUAACAUAUCCAGAUACGUUUGGCAAAAAAGCUUAACAUAAGAGUAACUUUUACUUGCUUUUAAGCUCUGCCGAACAUGCUUGGAGUCUCCUAUAGACACGAAAAAGGUUGGAGACAAAAUAAAAUGAUAUCGUACAUCUCUACCCCCAAUAAUUUUAAUUUGCUGACUAUAAUUGUGAGUGGUGAAAAUUGAAGUAACUAGGAAAACACAUCACGACUAUUUCCAUAUUUGAUAAUCACAAUCAAUGUUUAGAAAGGCUUAAUCACAAACAACCAAAAUCGAUCAAAAUAAUACAACGGUUUUAAAUAGUCUCAAUGCGUAUCCAAAAGUUCUGUUUUCAUCCAGUUCCACGCACUCUUCAAUUUUCUUAGUUUGAACUAUAUGAAAUUUACCAUUUUGAUUCAGAUGAAAAAGAGUUGACUCAAAAUGGACACUGUUGAUCCAGUUCCUUCCGGAGGUUUUAGAAGUCAUGAUUUUGUGUAAUUGCUAAACUUUGAUCUUUUCUGCUUCGCGGACAUGGUUUAGCACUGCAAAUGGGAUUUGAUGCUUUUAGUAUGGACAUUUUUCUUCUUGAUAGAACUAAAUAUUGAAGAUUUUUCUAAAAACCAAAUGCCAUGAUCCAUUUUCAGUGCAACUCAAUAAAACAUAUGGCCACUUCCAAGUUCAUAUUAAGUGAACAUUGCAAUUUUCCAACUAAGCAUCCAAAAUAAUACAAAGAGAACAUGGCAGUGAAAAUUUAUGUUCGCAUUCACUUUGGAUAGGAUGUGCACCAACAAUCAAGUCGAAUAUGAAGCUUUAAUCGUGGGUUUAGAAUUAAUGAUAGAUAUGGAGAUAAAGAAUGUGAUUGUUAGAGGCGAUUCUCAAUUGGUAAUUCACCAAUUGAUCGGUGAUUUUAAGUGCCAAAGUGAUUCCAUCAUAAGUCAAUAUGAAAUCGCCCAAGAAUUGUUGGAAGAAUUCGACCAAGUAGAGUUUCAAUGUGUUAAUAGGGUAUAUAAUGACAGAGCAAAUGAGUUGGCCCAGAUGGCUUCAGGGUAUUCAAAGGCUUUAAAUUGAAAAUCUACUUGUGAAUAUGGAGUAAUAUUAUCUGUGGUCCAAAGAAGGGCGAGAAGAAUUGAAAUUUAUUGCAUACAAGAUGGAGAUGCAAUAGAUUGGAGGGCGGAGAUUAAUAGGUUCCUUAAAGAACCUAAUAAAGGAGGUAGUAGAUUUCCAAUUUAAAGGUUCAGGAUAAAGGUCCAAACAAGAUUAUUGAUAAAUGCAGUGGAAGCUCACGAAUACAGUAACAUCAUCGCCCAAACUUGCAAGACGCCCAAAAUCUGAGUGAAUGGAGUGCCUUACGGUCACCUGGAGCGAUAACCCCGUUCUCGCCCAAACCUUCAAAUCGCCCAGGAUCUUAGCAAACAUAAAAUAUGAUAGUUAUCCACAAUAGCAGUUAUUGAGUAAUCUUAUCACAUUCCACGAUUCAAGGAGUCCAGUGGAAGGCGGUUGAACGACAAAGAGUAAUGGCAGCAGUUAGAGACGGCAGUUCCACAAUAAGUUAGCCACCAUAAAGAAAGUGGAUAGUUAUAAAGCGAUCAAACAGUUUUCAAGCGAUUUGUCACGAGAAAAUCAUCAAGGAAAUAUAAAAAGAAAGAGAAGAUAUAGAGGAAGAAAAGAAUCAAACACUCUCAAACAGAGAAUAUAUAAUUUUAAUUUCUUAACUUAAAUUUAAACACUUCUUUUAGUACUCGUGUGCUUGCGCCCCUUGGAGGCAUUCAGUUUAUUUUCAAUUGUAAAUCCUCACCAAUAAAACACCCAUUUUUGAGAUUUUGUUUCAAGAGGUCUGUUCCUUACACAAUCGUCUGAUCCCUUUUUUAAUUGUUAACGACUACCCGCGCAAAACAGAGAUCAUUGGCGAGAAUUGAAAUCUGUAUUUAUUUUUGCUAUACAUGUUUAAGUAAAUUCUCAACAGGUUGGUGAGUGGGAAUGUGAAUAAGUUGCCCGAAAUGGAGUCGGUGAACUGGUUUAUACUGAGGUCAAGGUAGCUUAGCUGGCCCAGACGGCUCAACAGCCGGUCAACUGGGCCACUCAGUCUGUUCCAUGAUAAUGAGAGGUACUGGAGUCGUGGGGGUGGGCUCAAUGGGGAAAUGGAACUGGAGUGAUCGUUUUGUGCUUGAGAUCGAGCCAGGUUAGGGUUUGGGAAACAAACGGCGGGACUAAACCGGACAGCUUGUUGUGACAUAGAAUGACAUUUGACAAAGACGGUAGAGCACCGUUGGACCAUGGAAUGCUACCGAAAAACUGAUUGAAGCUAAGAUCAAGCGUUUGUAUCCUCAAAGCUCGCCCAUAGUCGCCGAAAUACCACCGGAGAUGAAGUUCCUGCUGACGGCAAGAAACCUGAGAUUUUUCAACUGAGACAGAGUUUGAGGCAGAGAGCUGAUGAUUCGACCUGGAACUAUAAUAAACUCUGUAAGAGCUGACAGUUUUUCAAUCGCCGGGUCUAUCCAACCCGUUAAACCUGUAGACCCAGCUAGUAGAUCACCAAGGUUCAGAGCAAUCACUCUAUCUCCAUCACAAUACACACCAGCAAAAUUGCAUGGAUCCGCAGUGAAAUCCCACGAAGCAAAAUAAAUUCGACCCGGGCAAAUCAUCCAAACUCUUCCGGAUCGACUGCAAUGCCAUGAAAUCAAUGGGGUCCAACACUGUACCCAGCGGAAAAUUACUUUCCCAAUUGACGAAAAUGAGAUGAAUCCAAUAUAUUAACGUAUAAUCUUUCCUUGUCCUCAAUGGACACCACAUUUUAGGGGUGUAAUUGAUAGAAAAAAAUUUAUAUAUACAAAAGGGAUUAUAAAUGGAAGUUUGAAAAAUCAAGAGAAUUGCAUCGAUUUUCUUGAUGUUGGGCUUGUGGGAGAAGGAAGAGAAAAUUGAGAAUGCAAUGACUGCGGCAAGUACAAAGAGUGUAAUAUGGGAUUUAGUUUGUUUAUCAAGGGAGGUUCUGUUGGAUAAACUGUUGUCCGAGUCUGAGGUUUUUGGCGCAGGAGAUUGUUGGGUUUGGAUUUCACAGUGCCAUUUUCAACUCUACACCAAAAUUUACAUCAAAAUUUGCACCAAACUACAAAUCAUAUCCAACCAUUAUAUCAAAAUUUACACCAAAUGUACAUUUUUAAUCAUUUUAUUUUCUUUUUUUAUUCCAGAUAAUUUAUUUAUUUGUUUUACAAAUACAAAAAUUACUAAAUAAAUAAUUAAAAUAUUAAAUUAAUUAAUAAAUAUAGAAAACAUAUUACAAUUAGUAGAAAUACUAAAAAAAAAUGAAAAUAUUAAAUAAUGUCUUUAAAAAAAGUGCAAUACAUUUUGAAUUUGGAUAUUAUGUUAUUACGAAGUCAAAAUAUUAUUGCAAUUUAAUUCUCAAAAUUCGUAUAUUCUUUCCACAAAUGAUCGAUUAAUGCGUUUCAAAGUGCAAUGUGAGCCUCUUUAUCCUUAUUUUAAUUAAUUCCUUAAUUAUUAUUUCUUACAUUUAAAAUUUAUUUUAAAUAAUAAUAAUAAUAAUAAUAAUAAUAAUAAUAAUGUAUUAGAAAAUAUAUAACACAAAUGACCCGAAUAUCCUUCAUCAAUCACUAACAAAUGGAAAAAGGGGCAAAUAUGACUUUGCAGCAUUUGCACUAAAAUGGUGCAAACUUUAGUGCCACAUUGAAGUGCUUUUGCAUCAAAUUUUGAUUUUGAUGCACCAUUGGAGACGACCUUAGACAAGGACACCGUGACAUUUAGUUGUUGCCACCCCAUAUUUUUUAUAAAUAAAUAUUUUUUUUAUUGAAUUAUUGAAAUUUUGAUUGAAAGUUGAGUGAUUUGUAACUGUACUAUAUUGAUACCACGUAAGAGGUCAAAGAAGGGCAAAGUGGGAAGAGAAAAAAGGCAGUUUGGGACGAAAUGGUGACAGCUGAAGCCUGGUGGUACGAUCAAGUUUUAGUGCUUUCGCGUCCAAACUACUACUCCCAUUUGUCUCAAAUAUAAGACUUGUUUGAUACUGAUUAUGAGAAUUAAUUUUUUGAUCGUUAGAGAGAAAAGUUGAUUUCACCUGUGAGUGAAGAUGUCAAAAAUAACGAUUGGAAUAGUAAAAUAACGGUCAAAAAAUCAAAUUUUUGGAUUAAAAUUGCUAGGGCAUAGUCAAUUAUUGCACGUCAACAAGAAGUCAAUUCUGAAUUUGAGUGAUAUUUCAGAGCCUGUUUGAUUUAGAUUAAAAUUUGAUUUUAAUUUAAGUCAAAAUCAAACAAUCAAUAUCAAUCACAUUUUUUAUGGCUCCCACAAUUUUUUAACCAUACAUUCCAAAAACUCUUAUCACAAUUAGAGAUGACAAAAAAAUUCGUUCAACCCAAUACUCGUGGAGCCUCACCACGAAUGGAACAGGUAAUACUCGCCUAAUCGGAUACAUGUUAUGAGUAUGAGGUGAGAGUUAUUGCCUCGAAGCGGGUAUAAGAUGGGUACGGAAAACCAUUACCCACCCAAUUUAAUAUUAAUUUCAAAUUUAAGUUUUUAUCAAACAAAAAUAAUAAAUUCAUCAUUCUUUUUAAAGAGAACAUAAGUUUUUUAACAAAUUAGUAAAAAAGUAAUAUUAUUUACUAAUUAAGGACAAAAAAAUAAAAGCAAAAAAUAAAAAAAUAAAAAGAAAAAAAUGGGGCAGGAGACUUGCCCCGUCCCGUCCCGCUUUAACUGGAUAUGGGUAUAGGAUAAGAUAACAAAAAUACCAGAUGGGACGGGGGUGGCAAUGGCCGACCUGUUCCAUACCCGCCACGUUGCCAUUCCUAAUCACAAACUACUAAACAAAAUCUAAUUUUAAUCCCCACUAAACACACUAAUUCAUCUCAUAAAAAUCGGUUCAAACCUUCAUUGAGUUUCGCCCAAGUUUCAGCUUGAUUAUGAAUAGAUUGCACAGGCUCCCGCACAUAAAUAGCGAUAAUAACCCUAUGAAGACUCGUAGGAAUAGGUAUGACCGUCUACUUGAAUUUAAUUAGAAGAAUUGUAUAUGUUAUGAUCAAUUGAGAACAAGUCGACUACAAUUACAAAUUGUUUAUUCAUUAAUAUUUUUUAUAUCAAUCCUUUUAUAGUUUUUAUAAUCGAUCUCCAGACCCUUUUUAACUUGCUUCCAACCUUAAUUGAGAUUUGCACAAUUCAAGAAUUUUAUAGUGACGUUUAUUUUGUAGAGAGUUUCUAUCAAUUACAUUUUGAUUUAAGCCCAAAUUGGAGUAAUCAUAUUGCUUUAGCAUUUGGGUUGUGUAGAUAUGAUAAGUCCUAUAGGAAAGAAUGCCAACCCCCUCAAAUAGUGAGUGAAUUAUCCAAAUAAUUACUAAACUUUGUAAAAUGCUUCCACGGAGUCACUAAACUUUAAAAAUCACUCAACUCAUCACUGAAUUUGUAAAAGGUUUUUACGGGAUCACUGAAUGAAUUUGGUACUUUUUAAAGUUCAAUGAUUCCGUACAAACUUUUUGUAAAGUUCAGUGAACAUUUAGAUAAUUCACUACUAAAAAUGGUGCUAUUGAUGGAGUAAUUGCAGAAGGAUGUGUUUUUUUAUUUCACCAGCCCCAACAACCUUCCUAGCCUCUCAUUAUUUGCAGAGGUGGAAAAAUAGUUUUUUUUUUUUUUUUUUUUUCCCGAGAAACGCCGAACACGCCUUAUAAGGUCAGCUAAUUAUUUAUACACUUUUAGUAGUUACCACCAUUUCUGUCGUGCAUAAUAUUUGUUCUUAGAGAUGUUUUCUCGCAGUCGCAGAUUAUCCUUAUUAGAUUAAUUCUAGAUUCAUCCGGUACUAUCGAGUUACACUUAGAAGUAUACUUUUUCUUCUCCUCCCAAAAAAAAAAAUAAUAAUAAUAAUAAAAAAUUAAAAAUAUUGUCGUGUGUGCAUUUAUAUAUUUUAGUUAUGUUGUCUCUUCGUCCAGCCAUAUGUAAUGCUUUUCAUUGCUCUGAAUUAUAUAUUUAUUUAUUUAUUAUUAUUAUUAGUAUUAACUUUAAUUAAAAAUUGUAAAGUUGGUUAAACUCUACUGUGAUGAUGUACUAUAGGGAAGUCCUACGAAAAAAUAGCUUGAUACCAUGAUUAUAAAAAGCUUAGCACCUCUCAUUCUUAUUCAUUUAUUGACGAAAAAAAUUAAAAAUCAAAAGGUCGACUUAUUCAAAACCAAUUAUGAUAUUCCUUCUCUCACACUUAGACUUCGGAAAGCACCAUUCUUAUAGGAUAAACGCGAUUUCACAUCUUUUUAAAUUGAAAUAACAUGUUUAGUGAGGGGAGAGGAAAUGUUCCUUUUUUUUUAGGAUACUCUUGACAGCAGUACCAAAAAAGAUGGGUUGAAGCUUGUAGCUCAAAGGAUUAGAACACAUGACUACAAACCAUUGUAUCAAGGGUUUGAAUUCCUCCUCACCUACAACCGACCCAAAAGGGAAGUAUCUUUCCCUCGGGGGGUUAAAAAUCAUGAUUGAGAUAGCUGAGUUAUGGAACUUGGACGUGUGUCAUUGGAAUGACACUUUAUUUAUUAUUUAUCAUGAAUGAUGAAAUCAUUACAAAUUGUUUUACGAUUUGUAACUCUUCCUCAGACUUGGGCAAAAUAGCAAAGCAAGUACAAGUAUCAGUAGCAUAACAAAAAUGUCCUCCUCGUCAUUAAUAUGUUUGCUUGCUGGGACUUUAGGCAAUGCUUGCAAAAGUCGAUAUGAAGAAUGAAAAUACUAAGAACAUUCACAAGAAAUAGUCAAGAGGACAAUUAAUGUAAUAAAAUGUAAUUAACUAUAACUGAAAAUUACAAAAUUUUGAUAUACUGGUAGAACUGUCGGACUCUAUCGACUUAUUCACACUGCGAUACAUUUUCAGUGCCAUGUAGCUAGACCAUUGAUCUCAUCCCUUAACCAGGGGCGAAGAAAGGAAAUGAAAAACUAAAACUCGGGUUAUAAAAUGAAGAAAAGACCAAUUAAGAGAAAACAAGAUUAACAAAUAACAACUAGAUGUAAGUAAUUUGUGAGCAAACAAUGAAAUGUAGAUGAGGUAAAAUGCAAAGAGACUAGGCAAGACACUCUGCUCGGCCGACACUACUUAUCUUCUGACAUUCCAUAUGUGCAAUUUUUAGAGCUACAUUACAUAUAACAGAAUCUAGCAGCCAAAGUAGCUAAAUAAUAAGAAAAAGCAUUCUAACUCG
rnacentral:lncRNA from 1 species